rnacentral:rRNA from 1 species
UACUCCUACGGGAGGCAGCAGUGGGGAAUAUUGCACAAUGGGGGGAAACCCUGAUGCAGCCAUGCCGCGUGUAUGAAGAAGGCCUUCGGGUUGUAAAGUACUUUCGGUGAUGAGGAAGGUGAUGUAUCUAAUAGGUGCAUCAAUUGACGUUAAUUACAGAGAG